rnacentral:lncRNA from 1 species
GAGCACAGUUAUAGUAGACCAGGUUCAAUUAUGAUGUUCAGGAGGCUAGGUGGAUUAAAUCCAUUUUGACUUAGGAGGAUUUCGCUUACAGUGCAUGGGUGUAUUAGAAUACAGCCCUAAUGUGAGUAGAGGAAGAUCUGUACACAAUUUUAGUUUUGAUAUGUCAUAGACUCAUGAAACUGAAAGAAACAUUAAAAGUUACCAAAUUCUAAUUUUUCAAAUAAGAAUCAGAGAAGUUUAUGUUAAUACUAGAAAAUGUGCUCACUGAUAGAUGCCACAUCUGUAAUAACUUGAAUGCAUGCAAAAUUUGGGGUAAAUUCCUAUAGUUUGUGAAUUGUGCACUAAUGUGUGUGUGUUACUGCUAUAUUUAAUUUUUUUUAUUUUAACAAAGUUGUCAUCUAGUUCUUGUUUUUAAGCCUCACGUUGUCUGCUCUAUGGACAUUUUCCUCUUCAGUACCCAAGCAAUUCCUAUUUGUCACUGGAAGACCAACCCCUAUGUGUCACUCAUCUCCUAACAUGUCAUUUCCCUGGGCUGAGAAAGUACUGCAUUUUCCCUUUGGUUUUCUCAUUCCUUUUUCUUGGGAUCUUGAAUUAUCUCACUUUCUGUACAAGAAAAAUCAACAACUUCUCCAAAAUAUAAACUCUAGCUUCAAGGAAGAAUAAUUCAAUUCACUGCAAAAAUAUAUGUUUGGUAAUCAUUAUAUCUUUACAAAGCAACAUGCAAAGCACUCAUUCAGUUUCAAAAAACAGAUAAGGGACAGUUAAUGACAUUCUUUCUGGAGCUUACAAUCAAGCUAAAUGCAUAAGUACACAUUUAGUUGUUUUACAAAGUAAAAUGAAGGGAAUGGGUAAGUUUUAGAAGCAUAAUUUUCAGAAUAUGGACAGCAGGGGCCCCUGGGUGGUGCAGUCAAUUAAGUGACGAAACCAGGUUUGGGCUGGGUUGUGAUCUCAGGGUCAUGAGAUAGAGCCCCAUGUCAG